CUACGGGUGGCACCAGUGGGGAAUAUUGGACAAUGGGGGAAACCCUGAUCCAGCAAUGCCGCGUGUGUGAAGAAGGCCUGCGGGUUGUAAAGCACUUUCGGUUGGGAGGACUGCUUCUAGCACUAAUAUUGUUGGAAGUUGACGUUACCUUCAGAAGAAGCACCGGCUAACUCCGUGCCAGCAGCCGCGGUAAUACGGGGGGUGCAAGCGUUAAUCGGAAUUACUGGGCGUAAAGCGCGCGGUAGGCGGCUAGAUCAGUCGGGUGUGAAAGCCCCGGGCGUAACCUGGGAACUGCAUCCGAUACUGUCGAGCUUGAGUACAGGAGAGGAGAGUGGAAUUCCACAUGUAGCGGUGAAAUGCGUAGAUAUGUGGAGGAACACCAAUGGCGAAGGCAGCUCUCUGGCCUGAUACUGACGCUGAGGUGCGAAAGCGUGGGGAGCAAACAGGAUUAGAUACCCCUGUAGUC
rnacentral:rRNA from 1 species